rnacentral:rRNA from 1 species
AUGCAAAGCCGCGAGGCAGAGCGAACCCCCAAAGGCCGUCUCAGUUCGGAUCGCAGGCUGCAACCCGCCUGCGUGAAGUCGGAAUCGCUAGUAAUCGCGGAUCAGCAUGCCGCGGUGAAUACGUUCCCGGGCCUUGUACACACCGCCCGUCACACCAUGAGAGUCGGGAACACCCGAAGUCCGUAGCCUAACUAGCAAUAGAGGGCGCGGCCGAAGGUGGGUUCGAUAAUUGGGGUGAAGUCGUAACAAGGUAGC